rnacentral:rRNA from 1 species
GAGUUUGAUCCUGGCUCAGAUUGAACGCUGGCGGCAGGCCUAACACAUGCAAGUCGAGCGGAUGACGGGAGCUUGCUCCUUGAUUCAGCGGCGGACGGGUGAGUAAUGCCUAGGAAUCUGCCUGGUAGUGGGGGACAACGUUUCGAAAGGAACGCUAAUACCGCAUACGUCCUACGGGAGAAAGCAGGGGACCUUCGGGCCUUGCGCUAUCAGAUGAGCCUAGGUCGGAUUAGCUAGUUGGUGGGGUAAUGGCUCACCAAGGCGACGAUCCGUAACUGGUCUGAGAGGAUGAUCAGUCACACUGGAACUGAGACACGGUCCAGACUCCUACGGGAGGCAGCAGUGGGGAAUAUUGGACAAUGGGGGCAACCCUGAUCCAGCCAUGCCGCGUGAGUGAAGAAGGCCUCGGUUGUAAGACUCUUCGUCGAGGGAGG